UCGAGUGGCGAACGGGUGAGUAACACGUGGGUGAUCUGCCCUGCACUUUGGGAUAAGCCUGGGAAACUGGGUCUAAUACCGAAUAGGACCGCAUGCUUCAUGGUGUGUGGUGGAAAGCUUUUGCGGUGUGGGAUGGGCCCGCGGCCUAUCAGCUUGUUGGUGAGGUAAUGGCUUACCAAGGCGACGACGGGUAGCCGGCCUGAGAGGGUGACCGGCCACACUGGGACUGAGAUACGGCCCAGACUCCUACGGGAGGCAGCAGUGGGGAAUAUUGCACAAUGGGCGCAAGCCUGAUGCAGCGACGCCGCGUGAGGGAUGACGGCCUUCGGGUUGUAAACCUCUUUCGCCAGGGACGAAGCGCAAGUGACGGUACCUGGAGAAGAAGGACCGGCCAACUACGUGCCAGCAGCCGCGGUAAUACGUAGGGUCCGAGCGUUGUCCGGAAUUACUGGGCGUAAAGAGCUCGUAGGUGGUUUGUCGCGUUGUUCGUGAAAACUCACAGCUUAACUGUGGGCGUGCGGGCGAUACGGGCAGACUUGAGUACUGCAGGGGAGACUGGAAUUCCUGGUGUAGCGGUGGAAUGCGCAGAUAUCAGGAGGAACACCGGUGGCGAAGGCGGGUCUCUGGGCAGUAACUGACGCUGAGGAGCGAAAGCGUGGGGAGCGAACAGGAUUAGAUACCCUGGUAGUCCACGCCGUAAACGGUGGGUACUAGGUGUGGGUUUCCUUCCUUGGGAUCCGUGCCGUAGCUAACGCAUUAAGUACCCCGCCUGGGGAGUACGGCCGCAAGGCUAAAACUCAAAGAAAUUGACGGGGGCCCGCACAAGCGGCGGAGCAUGUGGAUUAAUUCGAUGCAACGCGAAGAACCUUACCUGGGUUUGACAUGCACAGGACGCCGGCAGAGAUGUCGGUUCCCUUGUGGCCUGUGUGCAGGUGGUGCAUGGCUGUCGUCAGCUCGUGUCGUGAGAUGUUGGGUUAAGUCCCGCAACGAGCGCAACCCUUGUCUCAUGUUGCCAGCACGUUAUGGUGGGGACUCGUGAGAGACUGCCGGGGUCAACUCGGAGGAAGGUGGGGAUGACGUCAAGUCAUCAUGCCCCUUAUGUCCAGGGCUUCACACAUGCUACAAUGGCCGGUACAAAGGGCUGCGAUGCCGUGAGGUGGAGCGAAUCCUUUCAAAGCCGGUCUCAGUUCGGAUCGGGGUCUGCAACUCGACCCCGUGAAGUCGGAGUCGCUAGUAAUCGCAGAUCAGCAACGCUGCGGUGAAUACGUUCCCGGGCCUUGUACACACCGCCCGUCACGUCAUGAAAGUCGGUAACACCCGAAGCCGGUGG
rnacentral:rRNA from 1 species